AUCACCUGGGAUCUUGUUAAAAUACAGGUUCUGAUUCAGCGGGUCUGGGUGGGUUCCAAGAUUUUGCAUUUCUAGCAAGUUUCCAGGUGAUGCUGA
rnacentral:pre_miRNA from 1 species